rnacentral:rRNA from 1 species
GACGAGCCACACAAACGUUAUUCGGAAUUACUGGGCUUAAAGGGUGCGUAGGCGGCGCGGAAAGUGGGGUGUGAAAGCCCUCGGCUCAACCGAGGAAUUGCGCUCCAAACUACCGUGCUUGAGUGAGACAGAGGUAAGCGGAACUUCGGGUGGAGCGGUGAAAUGCGUUGAUAUCCGAAGGAACACCGGUGGCGAAAGCGGCUUACUGGGUCUCAACUGACGCUGAUGCACGAAAGCCAGGGUAGCAAACGGG